AGGGAGGAGUUCGACUACUACGCGGACGUGUGAUUCAAAGCGUUCGGCGACCGGGUCAAGUUCUGGACCACGCUCAACGAGCCCAACCUCUUAACCAAGUUCGCCUACAUGUUGGGCCACUACCCGCCCAAGCACUGCUCCCGGCCGUUCGGGAACUGUAAUAGCGGCAACUCUCACCGGGAGCCCUACGUCGCUGCCCAUAACAUGAUCAUGUCACAUGCCGCCGCCGUCGACAACUACAAGAGGAAUUAUCAGGCAACCCAAGGCGGUUCGAUCGGGAUCGUCAUCGCCAUGAAAUGGUAUGAGCCGCUGACCAACUCCACAGAGGAUAUCCUGGCUGCAAGACAGGCGUUGUCCUUUGAGGUGGACUGGUUUUUGGAUCCGUUAUUCUUUGGUGACUAUCCAAGAGAAAUGCGUGAGAUGCUGUCAUCAAACUUACCAAAGUUCACCUCCGAGGAGAAGAGGUUACUGCAGAACAAGGCGGAUUUUAUUGGGGUAAACCAUUACACGGCAAUCUAUGCCAAGGAUUGCGUCUCUUCUCCAUGCGACCUUAAGAGUUACGAGGGAAAUGCGCUGGUCCAAGCUGUAGGUGAAAGGGACGGUGUGGCAAUUGGAAGACCAACUGCAUUCCAUGGUUACUACGAUGUUCCGGAAGGUAUGGAGCUGAUCGUUAAGUAUGUCAGUCAGAGAUACGAGAACACGCCUGUGUACGUUACUGAAAAUGGCUACUCGCAGUCCAGCGAUAACAGUACGGAGGAUUUGAUCAAUGACGUUGGAAGGGUGAACUACCUGCAGGGUUAUCUCACAUGUAUCUCUUCAGCAGUCAGGAGAGGUGCAAAUGUGUGUGGCUACUUCGUGUGGAGCCUCAUGGACAACUUCGAGUGGGGUUUCGGUUUCACCGUGAGGUUCGGGAUCUAUCACGUGGAUUUUGAAAUGCAAGAGAGGACUCCAAAGAUGUCAGGGAAGUGGUACCGAGACUUCCUCACGGGCUCUAGACCGGUCGACCAAGCACAGACGCUAAGAGCAGAUUCGUGA
rnacentral:rRNA from 1 species